AAGGAUUUAAGUUAAAUUUAAACUCAUAGCCUUCAAAGCUAUAAAUAGAUAUUGUCUAAGCCUUA
rnacentral:tRNA from 1 species